AUGCUGGUGCCGGGCGUAACCGCUGACUUGGGUCCUUGUUGCUUCCCUGGUCCCCUGAUUCCUCCCUUGGGGUGGGCUGAGCGCGCGCACGGUGGCCUGCCACACCUGGGCGGGGCCGCGCGCAGGGCGUGGUCACUGAGGUUGUGCGCAUGCUCACUUGAGGAGUUCUUCCCUUACCGAUCCAGCGUUCCUGGAGGAAGGUCACGUACCGGUUACACGCCACCAUUUUGCCCUCAGUGCGCAUGCUUGAGCUCACUCACUCCACUCCUGAGAUCUUACUGGGAUCAUCACCAGUUUCAGUUCUAGGGGUUAGAAGCCCAAGACCAGAGUGGCGGCAUGGCUGGUUUCUGUGGGGCCCACCCCUUGGUUUAUGGACGGCCGUCUUCCUGCGGAGGAGCGUGCAGCAGGGAGCAGAGGGAGAGGAGGCAAGUUCUCUCCUGUCUCUUCUCAUAAGGGCACUAAUCCCAUCAUGAGAACCCCACCCUCGUGACUUCAUGACCUCCCAAAGGUCCCACCUGCAAACACCAUUCCACUGAGGCUGAUGGUGUCAACGUAUGAAUGUAGAGCGGAAAUAAAUAUGCAUUCUAUGACCCGGUGCAGCCUGGGGUUCAGGAUUAAAAAAAUAUAUAUUUCUCCAGUUGUCUAAUACACGUCUAAGCUUGAAAACCACCGGGUUAGGUAAAGUCUGCAAGACGGUCAGUUAAUUUUCUGUGACUGAUUGUUUCUUAUCAUCUGAAACCCUGCACAGGGCAGUGUUUUCAGAAGGUGGCAGGCCAUCAUCAUCCCUCCGUGUAACCUCAGGAAAAGCCAGCGUACGUGAGCUGGGGGAGUGCCAGCUUCCCUCUCGGGCACAGAGGUGCCAAGGGGUGGCUCGGGUGUCUCAUACAGACCCCAAAUGCCUUGACAGCCAUCGUUGACGUGAGUCACAGAGAGGAUCUCAGACAAUGGUUAGCAAGCUCAUCUGUUAGGUAGGACUGGGUCCCAGCCCUGGUGUCGCCACUCACUGGCUGUGUGACCUGGGUUAUGUGAUUCAGUUCUCGGGCUUCAAAUCCAUCCCGCAUAUUUCCUCACAGGAUUAUUGCGAGGAUUUAAUGAA
rnacentral:lncRNA from 1 species